AGAACCUGAAACCCUGCACUUACAAGCUGUAGGAGCACAUUUCUUGUGUGACUGCGUACUUUUUGUAGAACGGGCCAACGAGUUACGUUGUGUAGCAAGGUUAAGCACUUAAGGUGUGGAGCCGUAGCGAAAGCGAGUCUUAAAUGGGCGUCUAGUUACCCGACGUAGACCCGAAACCAGGCGACCUAUCCAUGAGCAGGUUGAAGCGAAAGUAAAAUUUCGUGGAGGACCGAACCCACGUACGUUGAAAAGUGCGGGGAUGACUUGUGGAUAGCGGUGAAAUUCCAAUCGAGCCUGGAGAUAGCUGGUUCUCCCCGAAAUAGCUUUAGGGCUAGCCUCAAGAUUAGAGAAGCGGAGGUAGAGCACUGAAUGUCCUAGGGGGUAUUGCACUUACCGAAGACUAUCAAACUCCGAAUGCCGUAUUCUUUUGCUUGGGAGUCAGACUAUGGGUGAUAAGAUUCAUAGUCAAGAGGGCAACAGCCCAGAUCGUCAGCUAAGGUCCCUAAAUGUAAGUUAAGUGGUAAAGGAUGUGGAAUUGCACAGACAACCAGGAUGUUGUAAGUGGUAAAGGAUGUGGGAUUGCACAGACAACCAGGAUGUUGGCUUAGAAGCAGCCACUCAUUUAAAGAGUGCGUAAUAGCUCACUGGUCGAGUGAUCCUGCGCCGAAAAUUUCCGGGGCUAAAACGUACUACCGAAGCUACGGCAUCAUUUAUGAUGGGUAGGGGAGCUUCGUAUGCAGGCUGAAGCAUGACCGUAAGGACAUGUGGACAGUAUACGAGUGAGAAUGUUGGCAUGAGUAGCGAGACGUGGGUGAGAAUCCCACGGGCCGUAAACCCAAGGUUUCCAGGGGAAGGUUCGUCCGCCCUGGGUUAGUCGGGACCUAAGCCGAGGCCGAAAGGCGUAGGUGAUGGACAACAGGUUGAUAUUCCUGUACCGCCAAUAAGCGUUUGAGAGAUGGAGUGACACAGUAGGAUAAGCUAACCGUACUGUUGGUUAUGUACGGCUAAGCAUUGAGGCAGUCUAAAUAGGCAAAUCCGUUUAGACAAUGCUAGGAUGUGAUGGGGAAGCCCUUCGGGGCGAAGUAGCUGAUUUCACACUGUCAAGAAAAGCUUCUAUCGAGUUUAAAGGCGCCCGUACCGUAAACCGACACAGGUGGGUGAGGAGAGUAUCCUAAGGCCAGCGAGAGAACUAUUGUUAAGGAACUCGGCAAAAUGACCCCGUAACUUAGGGAGAGGCGGCCGUAACUAUAACGGUCCUAAGGUAGCGAAAUUCCUUGUCGGGUAAGUUCCGACCCGCACGAAAGGCGUAACGAUUUGGGCACUGUCUCAACAAUAGACUCGGUGAAAUUGUAAUCCCGGUGAAGAUGCCGGGUACCUGCGACAGGACGGAAAGACCCCAUGGAGCUUUACUGUAGCUUGACGUUGGGUCUUGGUACUACAUGUACAGGAUAGGUGGGAGACUAUGAAGCAUGGACGCCAGUCUGUGUGGAGUCAUCCUUGGGAUACCACCCUUGUAGUACUGGGAUCCUAACCAUAGGCCUUGAAUCAGGUCUUGGAACACCGUCAGGUGGGCAGUUUGACUGGGGCGGUCGCCUCCUAAAAAGUAACGGAGGCGCUCAAAGGUUUCCUCAGCACGGUCGGAAAUCGUGCGAAGAGUGUAAAGGCAAAAGGAAGCUUGAUUGCAAGACAUACAGGUCGAGCAAGGACGAAAGUCGGACUUAGUGAUCCGGUGGUACCGCAUGGAAGGGCCAUCGCUCAACGGAUAAAAGCU
rnacentral:rRNA from 1 species